GUGAACAAAGUUAAACUGUAAAUUCAUGAAAUUAAGAAUAAAGCGGUAGAUUGCCUCGGAUAAAAUAAAGAGUUUCAAUUGUUCUAAUACUUUUUCCUUUCAAUGGCCAUUAUUUCUUUCAUAGAAAACUUAAAUAAGCUGAAACAUGAGGCAUAGAACAUGUAAAUCACUACUGACUUCCACACACAAUUAAGGAUCCAACUUUGAGCCAAACUUACUUAAGAACAAAUACCAUCUACCAAGCAAUGUUUCAUAUUUUAUGUAUUUGCAGCCCAAAAAGAAAUGAAACAAUAUAUUCAAGGCCUUGGAAAGACGAACACCUCAUAUUCUGUGUAUUUGCAGCCCAAAAAGAAACGAAACAAUACAUUCAAGGCCUUGGAAAGAUGAACUACUGUAACGGCUCAUAUUGAAGAACAUGAUAACCUUUCUAAAAUUAACAAAGUGAGGCCUCACAAACACAAAGCAAUCGUAAGUCCGAACAUCAGAACCCUUUGAUCGUGAAUACAACUACAAUGAUUUAUUAAACAUGCUUACAUCGCCCAAAACCAUGUGAGAAACAAAUUGCUUCUAAGUUUAUUAACUCCUAAUAAAUUAAAGAGAAAUCAAAUAGCUUCAUGUCCAUUCACUUUUAAUCCAAAAUUAUAUAAGCAUGUCAGGAAUACCUGGAUAAGAGAAAAGGCGAAGAUUAGUGAUAAAUGAAACAAAUUCCAGCAACAGUGACAGCAGAAAUAGCAACAAGCCAGUCGCGAAUCCGUGUUAAAAUAGCCCAGGAAUCUCACUAAAACCAACAAUUCCUCGAGGGAAUGAACCAAGAAUCAAACUCUAAGACUCUUAUACAUUUUUGAAAGAUUUUGCACUCUAAGACUCAACAAAACUCACAACUUACUCCUAUGUAUUCAACUGGUGAUUUUUCUCUCAAGUUUUUGUACUUUCUUGAGUGUAAAGAAAAAAAAAUCACCAGCAGGAAUAGCAACAAAACAGCAACAAAGACAAUAUUUCAGUGUUAAAAUAACCCCGAAUACCAACAAAGAUGCUUGAAACUAGUAGCUAAGCAGCUUCACAAAAUACCUAAGGAAUCGUUCUAUUUUUCUCAAAGGUUCACUUUAAGAAACUCCCCUAGUUCUGAAAUUUCAGCUUGAUAUAUAUACUAAGUUGCUGAUUUUUCUUUGAAGACAUGUCUUUUUAGAGUGUAAAAGAUGAUUUAUUUGAAGUUAUGUAUCCUGUCCUCUGUUCAGUAUGAAAGAAUGACCCCUUUAAGUAGGGAAAUAAGUCCUUUUGGACAAAUUUUGGUCCACCAAAAAUCUGUCCAAAGGACUAACUUUUGGUGCCAAAACAGUCCACUUUUCACCAAAUUCUGUCACUAAACAAAGUAGAUGUAUUUCCAGCAUGUUUAAACAGUAAAAUAUCCAAAACUUAACACUCAAGUAUUCAGCUUUUUUCUAUUCAUGACUGAAAUUCAGAUUAUACACUCAAACUCCAAAGCUUUUUUCUAUUCAUGACUGAAAUUCAGCUUAUACACUCAAACUCCAACCCAAUAUGAACUAGAAAAAUAGAAACAAGACUCAAAAUGCAAUUGAACUUAGUAUUCAGACAAACUAGAUUAGAAUGAAUCUGAUUUGUACAAACUAACAUGGAACAACAACUGAAUUUUACAAACUAUUGCUUGAAACAAAAAUUAAGCGAACAUCGUUAAACUAUCACGAUUAAUAACAACUAAAUAUACGACUAACUAUAUAAAUAAUUGAACUAAUCUUUUGUUUUUUUUUAAAUUCGACUAGGUCUAAAAACUGAAAAUUCAAGCUUAACAACUCUAUACAAAACAGUCGACUGACUAGGUCGAAGAAUCAAAGAUCAGAACUAACGAAUAAACAAACAAAAGGUCGACCGGCUAGGUCGAAGAACUGAAUGUUCAAACUAAAUCAAAUCCAUACAAAAGAGUCGACCGGCUAAGUCGAAGAACAGAAAAUCAAAACCAACAGGCAAUAACGAACUACUCGACCGGCUAGGAAAAUAGAAAUUAAGCGAACAUCGUUAAACUAUUACGAUUAAUAACAACUAAAUAUACGACUAACUAUAUAAACAAUUGAACUAAUCUUUUGGUUUCUUUUUUUUUUUUUUUGAAAUUAACAUAAAGACUUAGCUAUUCGACCGACUAGGUCUAAAAACUGAAAAUUCAAGCUUAACAACUCUAUACAAAACAGUCGAUCGACUACGUCGAAAAAUAAAAAAUUAGAAUUAACGAAUAAAUAAACAAAAGGUCGACCGGUUAGGUCGAAGAACAGAAAAUCAAAACCAACAGGCAAUAACGAACUACUCGACCGGCUAGGUCGAAGAACUGAAAUUCACAUUUAUAAAGUUGAAAUGUAAUUAAAAUUAUAACCAUUGCACAUAAAUAACAGAACAUUCACGGAAACUAAACCUUAGAACUAAUAUUAAAACAAAAGCAAAAUAAAAUAAAAUCGGAAAAGAUAAAAAUAGGGAAAGGAAAUUGGUGUUUACCAAACAAAGGGAUUCAACGCCAAAUCGAGCGACGAGACGGAUGUCGAGGGCGACGAAUGGUGGUUGUCCGACCCCGAGGGGUAUGUUUCUUUUCAGCAAAUGCCAAGCCAAUAGAUUCCGGCAUUUUGCCAAUAGGAAACAAAUACCUUUGGGUCGAAAGAAGUAAGAAAAAAUGAGAGAGAAGGAACAGAAGCGGCGGCGGGGCAGUGGGGGUGCGCCGGCGAUAGUGUCACGGCGAUGGGGGUGAGGUGUUUCGGGGUCAAGACCAACAUAGGAUGAUAGAUCGCGUGGAUCCCUAAACGUGUAUGUAAUUAUUUCAUGAAGAAGGGGUCUAAAAUCCGAUGAUUUACAGAAUAAAGUAAGCUAAGGUUUCGAAUUUUGGUUUAUUUGUGGAAUUUGGGAAGGGUUAUGGGAUUUUGGGGUUCGGAUUCAUGAAGGGGAGGUUAAACAGAAGAAGUGGAGAAAUUUUGGGGUGAUUUGGGGUUUGCUCUCCGCCGGUGACGAAUUCCGGCAGGCGGAGCAGAGGCGGAGACGGGCGGAGGAGUGAGAGAGAAGAGAGAGUGAAAGAGAAGCCUCUAAGGUUUGGAAAUAGGGCAAAAUUCAGAUUUUUUUUUUGUUUUUAUAUUUUAGUU
rnacentral:lncRNA from 1 species